rnacentral:rRNA from 1 species
AUUGAACGCUGGCGGCAUGCCUUACACAUGCAAGUCGAACGGUAACAGGUCUUCGGAUGCUGACGAGUGGCGCACGGGUGAGUAAUACAUCGGAACGUGCCCAGACGUGGGGGAUAACGAGGCGAAAGCUUUGCUAAUACCGCAUACGAUCUAAGGAUGAAAGCAGGGGACCGCAAGGCCUUGCGCGUUUGGAGCGGCCGAUGGCAGAUUAGGUAGUUGGUGGGAUAAAAGCUUACCAAGCCGACGAUCUGUAGCUGGUCUGAGAGGACGACCAGCCACACUGGGACUGAGACACGGCCCAGACUCCUACGGGAGGCAGCAGUGGGGAAUUUUGGACAAUGGGCGAAAGCCUGAUCCAGCAAUGCCGCGUGCAGGAUGAAGGCCUUCGGGUUGUAAACUGCUUUUGUACGGAACGAAAAGGCUCUGGCUAAUACCUGGGGAACAUGACGGUACCGUAAGAAUAAGCACCGGCUAACUACGUG